GAUGAACGCUGGCGGCGUGCCUAAUACAUGCAAGUCGAGCGAACGGACGAGAAGCUUGCUUCUCUGAUGUUAGCGGCGGACGGGUGAGUAACACGUGGAUAACCUACCUAUAAGACUGGGAUAACUUCGGGAAACCGGAGCUAAUACCGGGUGAUAUUUUGAACCGCAUGGUUCAAAAGUGAAAGACGGUCUUGCUGUCACUUAUAGAUGGAUCCGCGCUGCAUUAGCUAGUUGGUAAGGUAACGGCUUACCAAGGCAACGAUGCAUAGCCGACCUGAGAGGGUGAUCGGCCACACUGGAACUGAGACACGGUCCAGACUCCUACGGGAGGCAGCAGUAGGGAAUCUUCCGCAAUGGGCGAAAGCCUGACGGAGCAACGCCGCGUGAGUGAUGAAGGUCUUCGGAUCGUAAAACUCUGUUAUUAGGGAAGAACAUAUGUGUAAGUACUGUGCACAUCUUGACGGUACCUAAUCAGAAAGCCACGGCUAACUACGUG
rnacentral:rRNA from 1 species